rnacentral:rRNA from 1 species
ACGAACGCUGGCGGCAUGCCUAACACAUGCAAGUCGAACGAGACCUUCGGGUCUAGUGGCGCACGGGUGCGUAACGCGUGGGAAUCUGCCCUUCGGUUCGGAAUAACACAGAGAAAUUUGUGCUAAUACCGGAUGAUGACUUCGGUCCAAGGAUUUAUCGCCGAGGGAUGAGCCCGCGUAGGAUUAGCUUGUUGGUGGGGUAAUGGCCUACCAAGGCGACGAUCCUUAGCUGGUCUGAGAGGAUGAUCAGCCACACUGGGACUGAGACACGGCCCAGACUCCUACGGGAGGCAGCAGUGGGGAAUAUUGGACAAUGGGCGCAAGCCUGAUCCAGCAAUGCCGCGUGAGUGAUGAAGGCCUUAGGGUUGUAAAGCUCUUUCAACUGUGAAGAUGAUGACGGUAGCAGUAGAAGAAGCUCCGGCUAACUCCGU